CCUACGGGAGGCAGCAGUGGGGAAUAUUGCACAAUGGGCGCAAGCCUGAUGCAGCCAUGCCGCGUGUAUGAAGAAGGCCUUCGGGUUGUAAAGUACUUUCAGCGGGGAGGAAGGGAGUAAGGUUAAUAACCUUAUUCAUUGACGUUACCCGCAGAAGAAGCACCGGCUAACUCCGUGCCAGCAGCCGCGGUAAU
rnacentral:rRNA from 2 species